rnacentral:lncRNA from 1 species
AUGCGCACAAUUCAAAACGGCCAUAUUUCCGGUUUAAAUAGUACACGCCUAUUAUUUCAACCUACCCCGAUCUUGUGCCGAUCUCGUUGCUUUUGUGCCGAUCUCGUUGCUUCGAAAAAAGUUAUGGAGAACAAAUACGAGGAACUGCUCAUGUUUCUGUCUGUUGGGUCCUACCCAUCUGAAUACGAUAAGUCCCAGAGGCAAACCCUUAGGAGAUACGCCGCAAAAUUCAGGCUGAAGGGUCAGUAUUGUAAUGUAAAUAACUAAAUGUAAUUAUUGGUUAAAUACAUGUUAUAAUUAUUUUACAUUUUUUAAAUAUAGGCGGAGUGCUCUUGUUUGGAAACAGGAGAGUGAUAAAAACAAAAGAAGAAGCCAUGGGACUAUUUCAAGAGUUUCAUUCAAGUCCCAUCGGUGGACACACUGGUGUACUCAAGACUCGAACUGCAAUUUGUUCCAGAUUUUACUGGUAUGGAAUGUCGGUUGACAUUGUUAAUUGGGUAUGUAUUUUUAAAGUUGUCAUUUAUAUAUAGUAUGUUAAUAGUGCACCAAUAGAAUGCAUAGUUAUCCUGAAGACCCGUACCAGAUUGAUGUACAGUAAUUAACACUGUAUCGCCACUUGAUCAAGUAUUUUUAUAGAACAUUAGCAAUUUUGUUGUUUAAUUAAUUGCGAUUGUUGGAUAAUAUAAAGAUCAUUCAAUAUGUUUAAGGUCCUGGCUUGUGACCAGUGUCAAAAAAUGGGAAAACCAUUGGCUGCUGUGCAACCACUGCAGUGUAUAAAGGUAAAUAUCAGUAGCAUUUUAGUAGAAAAUAGUAAUGUUAUCAUGUACAUUAUAUAUUAAUGUGAUUCUUUUAUCACUGACAGGUGUCACAUGUCUGGGAGCUAAUCGGAAUAGAUCUAACUGGACCUCUUCCAAAAACGUCUAGUGGCUUCCAGUACAUUAUGACUGCAACAGACUAUUUUUCAAAAUGGGUUGAGGCUUUUCCAUUAAAAAGCAAAAGUGCUGCUGAGGUAGCUCAUCAGUUGUGCUCAAUCAUAUAUAGACAUGGCUGCCCAAAACGAAUUUUAUCCGACCAAGGAAGGGAAUUUGUUAACGAGGUAAGUGUUAAGUUUACUUUUCCAUACCUCUUUAGGUAAAUACUUGGCCACAGUGUGCCAAGUAGCUGCCAGGCCAAAGGUUUUGUGUGAUUGUUUUUAAAAAACAAUUUUCUUUUUUCUUUGAAGCUCAACUCAAGACUUUGCAGCUUAAUGAAAAUAGAUAGAAGUGUCACAGCAGCGUAUCACCCUCAGACAAAUGGCCUCGACGAAAAGAC